GGCGGGCACCCGGAGGCGGCCCAGGCGGGGGUCUCCCCCGGGGCCUGGGGCGGGCCGAAGAUGUCCAGGCCUGGCCGGAGCCGCCUCCUGAUUGACGAGGCCCGCAUGGGAGUGCGGACGUGCAGCACAGAUUUGCGGGUCUCCUGGGCCUCUUGGGCGGUGAUCAGCGCGGACCUUGGGCCAACCGGGGAAGCAGGCCGGAGCACUACCCCCCACCCCCAUUUUAGAACAUCCUUCUGAGGGCUUCGCUGACCUCGGCUUGAACUCCUUCAGAGCCGGAGAGAUCACUCCUUCCACCACCGAGGGAGAGGAGGCAAAAUGAAUUUGCCAGCUUUGAAUUCAUUCUCAAGGCUCCGCUAGUCUCACAGCCAGUGAACUCAGUCUGGAAUUCCUGAAAGCUCAGAAAACUGCUGCUUAGGUCCACCCGGGCGUGGGGGACGGGGUGGCAGCUGAGCAUCCCUGGAGAGGGUGGGUGGUAUGAAAGCACUUCCAGACCUCUAGGGACACCAGGGAGUCAUGGUCCCAGCACAUUGCUGUGUGAUUGAGCCCCUCCUCAGCCUGUGGGUGGCCUAAGUUCACAGGGAGGUAAUGGGGUAGAUUGGAUACCUCUGGGGUCUUGGAAGAAGCUAUGACUUAUUUACUGUCUACUAUGUGCUGAAGCCACUUGCUCAGAGCCGCACAGCAAGCCCACCACCCUGAACCUCCAGAUUACCAACUCAGCAUUGUGUCCUGACAGUGUCAUCAUAGAUGGUCAACACCGUCACCUGGGCAGCACUGAAGCCCAGAGCGGGAGAGACUGGCUCAAGACCAUGGUGAUGUUCCUUUUCCUGUCACCAACACACACAGCACACAGAGAAGUUUGUUUCUGUUGCUUUAAAAAAGUUUCCUUCUGGGGAGGAGGGCAAGGGGUUGUUUACUGGGCCUGCAAAGCCUCACCGUGGGUGUGGGCAUGGGUGUGGCAUGGGUGUGGGUGGCAACUGGGUCCCUGCUGGAUUUGGGGUUGGUGGAGGCUGCACCCACGACCCUGGGCCUCUGGAUCCUGUGCAAAAGCCAGGAACGUGGAAGGAAAACCUCCUGUGCACCCUGCUCAGGGCUGGGCUGGUUCACCCACCGUCCAGCCACACUCCUGCAGAAACCUGGGAGGUCAGGGGUUUUGUUUUCCAUUUUCCACAGGAGACAGCUGAGGCUCGGCCAAGGUUGCCAGGGUCCAAGCCUAUGGAUUUGUGGUCUGGGCUCUGCCAGUGGCAUGGCACUGUCUUCAAAGCUCCCACCCUACCAUUUUUCUUACCCACACAGGGCAGGCUCGACCCAGCUAAGGAACACAGCUUCCUGAAGCAUCUGUCCUGGGCCGUUGGCCCUUCUGUGGACAGGGCUUGAGCUCUGUAGGCUGGAUUUGAAUUUCAAGUCCUCCUGCUGUGUGACCUUGAACAAGUUACUUAGCCUCUCUGAGCAUCAAAUGGCUUAACUAUCAAAUAAGAAGCACAGAGAAGUCCCCAAGAGCCAGUAGACUCUGGAGGCUGUGAGACCGGGGACUGGGGCUCCUGCAUCCUUAAUGAAGGUUUCAGUCUUGAGUCGCGUCUGGGAGACCUGCUGAAGCAAUGGGGAGCUACUGUAG
rnacentral:lncRNA from 1 species